rnacentral:ribozyme from 1 species
CUCAUCUUCGUCCCCUACAUCUAUGACUUUGGACACAAUGAGACUUCUUCUGAUGUCCUUGCCUCCAGUAACAGCCCUUUCUUGC